UAGGGAAUUUUUCACAAUGAGCGAAAGCUUGAUGGAGCAAUGCCGCGUGAACGGUGAAGGUCUUUAAGAUUGUAAAGUUCUUUUAUUUGGGAAGAAUGACUUUAGCAGGUAAUGGCUAGAGUUUGACUGUACCAUUUUGAAUAAGUGACGACUAACUAUGUGCCAGCAGUCGCGGUAAUACAUAGGUCGCAAGCGUUAUCCGGAUUUAUUGGGCGUAAAGCAAGCGCAGGCGGAUUGAAAAGUCUGGUGUUAAAGGCAGCUGCUUAACAGUUGUAUGCAUUGGAAACUAUUAAUCUAGAGUGUGGUAGGGAGUUUUGGAAUUUCAUGUGGAGCGGUGAAAUGCGUAGAUAUAUGAAGGAACACCAGUGGCGAAGGCGAAAACUUAGGCCAUUACUGACGCUUAGGCUUGAAAGUGUGGGGAGCAAAUAGGAUUAGAUACCCUAGUAGUCCACACCGUAAACGAUAGAUACUAGCUGUCGGGGCGAUCCCCUCGGUAGUGAAGUUAACACAUUAAGUAUCUCGCCUGGGUAGUACAUUCGCAAGAAUG
rnacentral:rRNA from 1 species